rnacentral:rRNA from 1 species
GAAGGCAAGCGGAUCUCUUAAAGCUGUUCUCAGUUCGGACUGCAGUCUGCAACUCGACUGCACGAAGCUGGAAUCGCUAGUAAUCGCGGAUCAGCACGCCGCGGUGAAUACGUUCCCGGGCCUUGUACACACCGCCCGUCAAGUCAUGAAAGUGGGCAGCACCCGAAGACGGUGGCCUAACCCUUAUGGGGGGGAGCCGUCUAAGGUGAGGCUCGUGAUUGGGACUAAGUCGUAACAAGGUAUC